rnacentral:rRNA from 1 species
UACGUAGGGUGCGAGCGUUGUUCGGAUUCAUUGGGCGUAAAGGGUGCGUAGGUGGCGGGGUAAGUCUGGUGUGGAAUCUCGGGGCUCAACCCCGAAACUGCACUGGAUACUGCCUUGCUCGAGUACUGGAGAGGAGAUUGGAAUUUACGGUGUAGCAGUGAAAUGCGUAGAUAUCGUAAGGAAGACCAGUGGCGAAGGCGAAUCUCUGGACAGUUACUGACACUGAGGCACGAAGGCCAGGGGAGCAAACGGG